UACAGAGGGUGCAAGCGUUGUUCGGAAUCAUUGGGCGUAAAGCGCACGUAGGCGGUCUGUUAUGUCGGAUGUGAGAGCCCUCGGCUCAACUGAGGAAGUGCAUCCGAAACUGGCAGGCUAGAGUACUAAAGAGGGUCGCGGAAUUCCCGGUGUAGAGGUGAAAUUCGUAGAUAUCGGGAGGAACACCGGUGGCGAAGGCGGCGACCUGGGUAGAUACUGACGCUGAGGUGCGAAAGCGUGGGGAGCAAACAGG
rnacentral:rRNA from 1 species